rnacentral:rRNA from 1 species
UGCUCAGAUUGAACGCUGGCGGCAGGCCUAACACAUGCAAGUCGAACGGUAGCACAGAGAGCUUGCUCUCGGGUGACGAGUGGCGGACGGGUGAGUAAUGUCUGGGAAACUGCCCGAUGGAGGGGGAUAACUACUGGAAACGGUAGCUAAUACCGCAUAACGUCGCAAGACCAAAGUGGGGGACCUUCGGGCCUCACACCAUCGGAUGUGCCCAGAUGGGAUUAGCUAGUAGGUGGGGUAAUGGCUCACCUAGGCGACGAUCCCUAGCUGGUCUGAGAGGAUGACCAGCCACACUGGAACUGAGACACGGUCCAGACUCCUACGGGAGGCAGCAGUGGGGAAUAUUGCACAAUGGGCGCAAGCCUGAUGCAGCCAUGCCGCGUGUAUGAAGAAGGCCUUCGGGUU